UGUAAACAUCCUACACUCUCAGCUGUGGAAACUUAGAAGGCUGGGAGAAGGCUGUUUACU
rnacentral:pre_miRNA from 1 species